CCCGCGGGACGACCCGCAUCACCAGCGGCCUGCAGCGGGGACGGCCCCG
rnacentral:ncRNA from 1 species